rnacentral:siRNA from 1 species
UUGAGCAACAGGUGGUGUGGACUG